UUUUGGAUUAAAUCCUCGGAAAUGGCCUCGUGUACAUUACUGAACUUAUUCAAUAACUGUCCAUAAUUUUUAACCAUAUUAAAGUUCACAGCCAUAAUUCACAAAAUUACAAGGUUUGGCCGAAAAUUGAAGAAGUGGGCAAAGUUGAAGAAUUUUUUUAUUAGUCAUUUGGCCUAUUUUUAAGUAUAUUUCAGGGGUUAGCAAUACUCUUUCAGGUGCUGGAUAGUGUCAGUAAAAAGUGGUCUAUCAACUAAAAAUUGUUAAUAAAUUGCUAAUCUGCCUGUGAGCAUCUAAACAAAAAUUUCUGGUAAACUUAUUAUUCAAGUUAAAAUGCACAAAAUUUAACAACUCACCAGCCUGGUCCAAAUCUUAAG
rnacentral:misc_RNA from 1 species